UUUAACUUUGGAUAACGUCGAAGGCAAUCGAAAGUUCAUUACCUUCAAAUUUACGGUUACAACUAAAAUUACAAGAUCUUGAUUGUUCGGCCACCCUUGCUUCUUCUACUAGCAUUCUCAAGCUUCCAGAGACUGAUGAAGCUAUCCUUGGAUUUUGGUGUGGUGCCUAUGUCUGCACA